UAAUGCCACCUUAGGAAAACAAAUCUUUAAAAGUAAUGAGUGCGACAUUUUUUUAAGAAAAAAAAAGAAUGAAAAUAUAAAAGGGUUGUAUUUUUAGGAACAAUCAAUGGCCCAGUUCAGUUAAAUAUCUGCAUCAUCUAUAGUAUCUUCUAUGAUGGCAAUGCAUGAUCCUACAGAUCUUCCCAUGGUCAUGGCUUCUGCAAGUUUAGCUCGGGCUCCCUCAUGCCGACGCAAAAUUAAGAUAGUGUUCAAGACAGACCAUCUGACUUGAGAAUCUGCUUUCUUCUGGGUAAAGCCUAAGCUCUUGAGCAGCAUAUCCAACUUUUUUAUAUCAGCAAGGCCUCCCUCUGCAUAUCCAUAUAGAAGGUACUCAGUUGCUACACCAGCUAGUGCAAUGCAUGAGAAUCUGUUCAAAGUCUGACAGAACAUUGUCCAGACAUAAGAAUUGAUCUAUCUACCAAGGGGUUUUAUUUGUACAGCAACAUUCAGUUUGAUAACUUUCACUCCCAACAAGCAAAAUUUGAACUUAAGAAGUUGAAUAGCAUACCGUAGCAGAUACUUUCCCUGCAUUAACUUCUUCAAGAAAUUCCAAGUCCACAAAAGCAGUUCCUGCUUGAACAUUUAGAGAUCCUUCCUUCUGUAAAGCUUCCAAACUAGAUAGCGUAUAACCCUUAGGAAGAAUGCCUACCAAAUAGGCAAUCAAGAAAUGCCCAGCUUCAUGUUGAAUAACCCUGUUGUGGUACUUCUGACUAAAUGUGUGACCAACUGUAUCAAGAACCAAGUUCCCAACUCCUCCGUUAAAAGAGACCUAGAUAACCCAUUAGAUGAGAUAUUAGAACAAUGCACAUCAUGGAAGAUGAGGUAUCUACGAACUCGUGUCCACUAUAAGCAUUAGAGCAAAGAUGACAGUACUAAUGGCUAGAGAAUAAAGGUUCGAAGUUUCAAGUUCAUUAGUAUUAUUUCAAAUAACCACAAACUUGCACAAGAACAUUCAAUAAAAUUCAAAAAAACAGAUCAUAGCUAGCUAACCAAUAAAUCGUGAUUAAGGACAAAAAUUUGAUUAUAAGCAAAAUCCAUAUUAACAAGAAUCCCUUAUAAGCCUAGAGACAGUCCUAGUUAAGCAUAAGAAACUUACCGCGUCUAAUGUCCAUAAAAACAACAAUCCCAGAGAAAAAUAAAAUAGCUGUUGUGGGCUAAACCUAAAAGCAUUCCAAGCAGCAAUCCCACCAAAAGCAGCAGCAAUUUGCAGGUUUCUUUCAAUAGAACCGAUUGUUGCAUCCACAGGGGACAAAAGAGAAGCUGUUUCUAUUCCAUUCAGCUUCAGUUCAUCCAAUGAGUAAAGCCUUUGGGGUACCUGCCUUGCAGCUCCGAAACAUCGAAGGCCACCUGGCUUUCCCUGCAAAUCCUUGACAAGAGAGAGUGCUGCUCUUUCAUCUCCCUUGGCAAGCUCCUUGUCCACUUGCUCCAACGCUUGCUGUCUCGAUACACCCACUGACGAAGAUGAAGAAACAAUCCUAAAAGAGCAGAAUCUUGUUCUCAGAGGAGAAAAUAAGCCCGUGUAAUAGAUCACUGUGCCCAUCAAAAGGAAAACCCAAAAAGCCGAAUUUGACUAGCCAUACGAUUCUUAAAGGUGAUUUUCUGGUGCUUAAGAAUGCCAGUUUUUUGGUCCUGAAUCGUCUACCACACAAACAGAAUAUUAACCGCAAAAUAGUCAAGGACAAUUUAAUAGCUAAACUACAACACAAGAACGCCGUCGUUUAUUUCCCUCAAAUGCAUCGCAUGCGUGAGCAUGACUUCAUUUUUCUAGAAAAAGAAUAAACUUGGCUUCUGAGCUCCAACUACAGCCUCCCGCUGAGGGAUUCUAGCUCCAGCGAAACUGCAGGAAGCCAAUUAUGCUGUACAACGUCGUCUUGCUAUGCAGAAGAGUGGACAGAGAGCUCUAAUGGCAAGGCAAGCCUUUGGCCUCCGUGGCCCUGGCACAGCCAAAACAAGUUUCUGUCUCUUAUUCCUACAGAGAGGUAUUAUCAUUUUUUUUUCAGAAGAGAGGUAUUAUCAUUUACUUGCUGUACUUGCAAUAUUUUGAUAGCGAGCAGGUACCCAAAAAUGGACUUGUAUCGGAUCAACUGGACUUCAACGGGAGAGAUUUAUCGCCCCUAAGUCAAUUGGUUGAUUAAAUUAUCAAUUGGAAAAUCUAUACAUUUCCCUUUACCAGAUGGCGAAGGCAGAGGGCCUAGUUGAGAAUUAAGGCAAACCAAAUUUCCUUUCCAAAAAACCUCUACCUGUUACCCAAUUCCUUUCAGCAUCUAAAACUCAUUUGGAUUAUUCCAAUCGUAUAUGGACUGAGCCGAUAAUAUACUUGAGCUGGUAUUCCAAUCGCAAUACCCUACCCAAUUUAACAAGAACAAAAAAUCUUCCCUGACCAAAAAACAGAACAGCCUAGAAACCCACCGUUUAAGUUUACUAACCAAGUGAACCCCCAUUCCAAAUCCAAUCUGUUUCCCACUAGUCUAUCAAAAUAAAAUAAAUUAAAAAAUAACAUAAUUAAGAGAACCAUAGAAUAAUCAAAAUCCUCUUUACUCAAAAAGAUACCACUGUAUUCCAAGUAGAAAAACCAAAAAAGAAUAUUUUACAACUGUAGAAUCCAUAAGCAAAACAAUCCGAGACAAAGGAAAAGGCCUAGAACUCCUGAGAAGCAGAUCCAAUAUCACCUUUGCCCUUGCCAAUCUUCUUGGGAAGAAGAGUCUGAUGAAUGUUAGGCAGUACACCACCAUUGGCAAUUGUUACAGAGCCUAGAAGCUUGCUCAGCUCCUCAUCGUUCCUUACUGCAAGCUGAAUGUGCCUCGGCACAAUGCGGUUCUUUUUGUUAUCUCUCGCUGCAUUCCCAGCAAGCUCCAAUACCUCAGCAGCAAGGUACUCGAGGACAGCAGAGAGGUAGACGGGAGCCCCAGCACCAACACGCUCAGCAUACUUUCCGGCCUUGAGAAACCUAGCGAUCCUCCCUACAGGGAACUGCAACCCAGCCUUCUGCGAGCGCGACACAGACUUUGACGCCUUAGGCUUUCCUCUCCCUCCCUUCGUUGAUCCCCCAGUAGAACUCAUUUUCACUAAUCUCAAAAUUAUAACCAAACGCAAACCCUAAUUUUUGUUUCGCACACAGUGAAAGCGUAGCAGAGAAGAUGAGAGACGCACCACUAUUUUGGAGAAUGGAAGAGUUUGGGUAUAUAUAGGAAGUAUAGGGUUGAUCUGAUUGGUGGAUUCGGCUUCCCAAGGAUUGCAAACGUG
rnacentral:misc_RNA from 1 species